rnacentral:rRNA from 1 species
UACGUAGGGUGCAAGCGUUGUCCGGAAUUAUUGGGCGUAAAGAGCUCGUAGGCGGUUUGUCGCGUCGGCUGUGAAAACUCGGGGCUCAACCCCGAGCCUGCAGUCGAUACGGGCAGACUAGAGUGCGGUAGGGGAGAAUGGAAUUCCUGGUGUAGCGGUGGAAUGCGCAGAUAUCAGGAGGAACACCGAUGGCGAAGGCAGUUCUCUGGGCCGUAACUGACGCUGAGGAGCGAAAGCGUGGGGAGCGAACAGG